rnacentral:rRNA from 1 species
UACGGAGGGUGCGAGCGUUGUCCGGAAUCACUGGGCGUAAAGGGCGCGUAGGCGGCCUGAUAAGUAGGGGGUGAAAUCCUGCGGCUUAACCGCAGGGCUGCCUUCUAAACUGUCAGGCUUGAGCACAGUAGAGGCAGGUGGAAUUCCCGGUGUAGCGGUGGAAUGCGUAGAGAUCAGCAGGAACACCCGUGGCGAAGGCGGCUUCCUGGGCCGCGCCUGACGCUGAGACGCGAAAGCGUGGGGAGCGAACGGG